UUCAACUACCAAAUGCAAUCAUGAGUCUGUGCUUUAUUGAAAUAUGGCAUAAAACAUAGUGUUUUUUGGAAGUUUAUAACUUGUUCAUAUUACUGACUUGUCUCGUCUAAGUAAAACAUAGUUAGCAUUGAAGUUACUAUUCUUGCACAACUUUCGAUAAUGUAUAGACACACAUUUCAGCUCGCAUACGGCUCAUAUGUAGACACAUCAUUGUACUUGCAAUUUAAAAUCGCGGCACAAUAUCUAACUCGCAUACGACUCAUAUGAUGUGGAGACGACGACGACAUUCCACACUUCAAACUUGUUGAUCCAUCGCCCAUAAAAAUCUCCAAAUGGCGCAUGAGGUAUAACCCUGUGCCUAUUCACACCUUUAAGCAGACAUGAACAACAUUCUGAAAUUCAACUCAUACCAUAUUCAUGGUCAACAAUAGACAUGAAUAACGCAUAUUAUAUUCAAAGACAUUAUAUUCAUAGCAUUUUUCAUACAUGAACAACCCCACAUCAUAUUCACACAUUCAAUUAGCACAAACAAAAUCUUACGUGAACAAAUAACUCAUAUUCACAUUAUAAUCAUUGCAAAAAAUAAUAAUGAUCAACGAAUGGUAUAUUUAUAUUUAGUAAUGCUUAAAAUAUUCACACACAAAACAUACAUUAACAUACGAACGACCCGUAACUACUGAUCAUGUUCAUAUCCAAAUAAAGAUAUGAACAAAGUAUUUUAUCAUAAAUAAGUACUAUGUUCACAUGAACAACAAACAUGAACUACAAACAUAAACACAUGAACAUGAAAAUGCUAUGUUGGAAAUAAGUACUAUGUUCUCAAGAAAAAAUGCUUCAACCACAUAGUGACAUGUUCACCGGAAAAUUCCCGAUCGGAAACAAAAAAACCCACCGAAAAUAAAAAAAAAUCAUAGAUUUGCAAAAAAUACAUACAUUCACCGAAACAAAACUCCCUACAAUCAACAAUGUUCAUAUAAACAAAUUGCAAAAAGUAAACAAUGUUAAAUGCAUACACUCACCCAAAAUUGCAAAAAACAUAGCAACAACGUUCAUAUAAACAAAUCUCCCUACAAUCCACAGAAAAAAAAGGAAGGCUGUAAAUGAACAAAUCUUCCUCCACAUCUCCGGAUUUACAAAAGUUAUACAAAAAAACAAAAACAAAAACAUGCAUAGCAGCCUCUGUAAGUGACGGAAAUUUCUUGUUCAUCGAAACAUGGAGUAUCAAAAAAAAAAACAAAGGUAGGCUCUCAAACCUUGUUCGAUUGCCGGAUCUUUCGGCCGAUAUAGAUGAAUAGCGGACACCCAAGUGACGGAAAUUUCUUGUUGGCCGGAAUACUUACUUCUUCCUCAGUAAUGGUGGCCGAAAAAGAGAGAUGAAGAUGAAAGGGGUAAAUGGGCGGUGAAAAGACACUAAUUUAACUCAAAAAAUGAUUUCUUCCUUUUAGUCAACGCAAUAAAUGGGAUACAUUAAAUCUUGAUUAUGAUUCCUUUUUUAUUCACAUAGAUAAUUACUUGUAUGACCCUAUUCAUACUAAUCGACAAUUUAGAUUUAAUAGGGUAAUAUAAUUUUUAAUAAAAUUCAAUUAAUGACAACCAUUGGAUUAACUAUAAUCAAUGGUCUAUGAUUGUUCUUAGGUGUCACAGAUUUCUAAAUUCUCACUUGAUACCA
rnacentral:lncRNA from 1 species